CCCUUAGAUGUCCUGGGCCGCACGCGCGCUACACUGACAUGUUCAACAAGCCUCCUAGUUCGACAGGAUUUGGGAAAUCUUUGAACGCAUGUCGUGAUAGGGAUAGAUCAUUGCAAUUAUUGAUCUUGAACGAGGAAUUCCUAGUAAACGCGAGUCAUCAGCUCGCAUUGAUUACGUCCCUGCCCUUUGUACACACCGCCCGUUGCACCUACCGAUUGAAUGUUUCGGUGAAGAUUCCGGAUAGGACUUUUUUGAUUUAUUUCAAUUUUGUCUUAAAAGCUAUCUAAACCUCAACAUUUAGAGGAAGGUGAAGUUGUAACA
rnacentral:rRNA from 1 species